CACUUCCUGGACAGAGGGGUUAAGAAAUGAGUGUUCUUUCUUCAUGUUUUCUUUCUGCUUCCACCAGUUGGUGAACGUGAGUAUGAAGAACUUGGAAACCAUAUAAUCACUAUGAAUGGAACCAGAAUAUGAAUGGGACCUGGGCAUUUGAGUCACUAGAGGACCACAAGUUUGGAAGGAACCGAAGAAGAGAUGCUGCACAAAUACAAGCAGAGGGGCCUGAUUAGAACAGAGGAUAGUGCCAUAUGCUCUCUAGGGUGAGGGUACAUAUACAGUAUUCUUUAUAAUGACAGGUGCCAAUACUCAAGAGGAACCAGAGGAUGCCCAAAAGACAAUGACCAAGCCAGUGAUGAAGAUAGAUGUAGGAAGACCUUUCAAAUACCCAAAGGCUCUCAUGCAUAAAAAGAAGUUACUCUGAUGAAUGAUACAUGUACAAACUGAGGCAAAUGCAUAUAAGUUGCAGAAGAUCGGUUGUGCCGUUUUGGAGAUACAUGUUCCAAUAAUAAAGAAUUAUCAAAAAUAUUAAGGGCUACUUUGGGAAGUUUGUGGACUUUGGACAAAGGCUGAAUUAUUUUUCAUCAGCGUUGUGAUAGAAGACAUUCCUGCCUUAGGAAGAAGGGUGCUUCUGUGAUCUUUUCUCUGUAUGAUAAAGACAAAUGUGCACCACAAAAAGUAAGUAUGUGAGGUAAUUAAGAUGUUAAAUUGCUUGAUUUGUCCAUUCCACAAUGUAUACAUAUUUCAAAACAUCAUGCUUUAUAUAAUAAAUACAAUUUUU
rnacentral:lncRNA from 10 species